UACGAAGGGGGCUAGCGUUGUUCGGAAUCACUUGGCGUAAAGCGUACGUAGGCGGAUUGUUAAGUCAGGGGUGAGAGCCCGAGGCUCAACCUCGGAAUUGCCUUUGAUACUGGCUGUCUUGAGUCCGGGAGAGGUGAGUGGAACUCCUAGUGUAGAGGUGAAAUUCGUAGAUAUUAGGAAGAACACCAGUGGCGAAGGCGGCUCACUGGCCCGGAACUGACGCUGAUGUACGAAAGCGUGGGGAGCAAACAGG
rnacentral:rRNA from 1 species